AUGGAUGAGGAGUCGAGGUGCCCAACAAUCACUUGGGUAUGCCUUACACUAGAGACUCUGAUGGCAUUUAUGAAAUUUUUCCUUAAACCUAUGACAAGUAUGACAUUCAUGAACACUGAGCCUAGUGUGGUUGAUAGAUGGGUGUUGAGACCAACAGACCCACUCACCUUCAAGGCUUUGAACCUGCAAGGACUCUAA
rnacentral:rRNA from 1 species